CCGCACUAGUUGGGGAGGCAGCGGUGCCCUGUACCUGCAAUCCGCUCCAGCAGGGACGAAUUCCGACCGCGAGGGGCGUCAUCUCAAAGUGUGCAGCCCACUGGGCGGCGAUGAUGGACUGGUACUACGCAACGGAGGACUGUGAACCAUGUCAGGCGGGGAACCGAGCAGCAUUAAGCAGAAACCGCCGUGUGCCGUGGAUUUGCCGGUUUUGAGCCGUGCAUCGGGAAAGGCCGUUGGGGUUGUCGUUUCGACCGGUCGGUGUGCGG
rnacentral:SRP_RNA from 1 species